UAAAUCACAAUGCGGGACUAUCAGUCUUGCAAUUGGAUUGAGAACAAUGUACAACUCUUAUCGAUAAGCCAUUGGAGGGCAAGUCUGGUGCCAGCAGCCGCGGUAAUUCCAGCUCCAAUAGCGUAUAUUAACGUUGUUGCAGUUAAAAAGCUCGUAGUUGAAGUGUGGGUGAUCGCUGUUGUGAGACUUCGGUCUCUCGACAGUAAGUCACCCCCUUCCAGUAUCCAGUAGUGGGUAUUCACUUACUUACUAUUGUGUGUUGGUCGUUUACUGUGAGAAAAUUAGAGUGUUCAAAGCAGGCGUUUGCUUGAAUAGAUUAGCAUGGAAUAAUAAUUGAAGGCUUUCGUGUUCGAUUUGAUUGGUUUGUUCAUGGAAGCAAGGUUAAAAGGAACAGUUGGGGGUAUUCAUAUUCACUAGUUAGAGGUGAAAUUCUCG
rnacentral:rRNA from 1 species